UACAUGCAAGUCGAGCGAACUGAUUAGAAGCUUGCUUCUAUGACGUUAGCGGCGGACGGGUGAGUAACACGUGGGCAACCUGCCUGUAAGACUGGGAUAACUUCGGGAAACCGAAGCUAAUACCGGAUAGGAUCUUCUCCUUCAUGGGAGAUGAUUGAAAGAUGGUUUCGGCUAUCACUUACAGAUGGGCCCGCGGUGCAUUAGCUAGUUGGUGAGGUAACGGCUCACCAAGGCAACGAUGCAUAGCCGACCUGAGAGGGUGAUCGGCCACACUGGGACUGAGACACGGCCCAGACUCCUACGGGAGGCAGCAGUAGGGAAUCUUCCGCAAUGGACGAAAGUCUGACGGAGCAACGCCGCGUGAGUGAUGAAGGCUUUCGGGUCGUAAAACUCUGUUGUUAGGGAAGAACAAGUACGAGAGUAACUGCUCGUACCUUGACGGUACCUAACCAGAAAGCCACGGCUAACUACGUGCCAGCAGCCGCGGUAAUACGUAGGUGGCAAGCGUUAUCCGGAAUUAUUGGGCGUAAAGCGCGCGCAGGCGGUUUCUUAAGUCUGAUGUGAAAGCCCACGGCUCAACCGUGGAGGGUCAUUGGAAACUGGGGAACUUGAGUGCAGAAGAGAAAAGCGGAAUUCCACGUGUAGCGGUGAAAUGCGUAGAGAUGUGGAGGAACACCAGUGGCGAAGGCGGCUUUUUGGUCUGUAACUGACGCUGAGGCGCG
rnacentral:rRNA from 2 species